rnacentral:tRNA from 1 species
GCCCAGCUAGCUCAGUCGGUAGAGCAUAAGACUCUUAAUCUCAGGGUCAUGGGUUCGUGCCCCACACAGGGCG